CAGCCCUAAACGAUGCGCGUUAGGUGUAUCGGUGACCACGAGUCACCGAGGUGCCGAAGGGAAACCGUGAAACGUGCCGCCUGGGAAGUACGGUCGCAAGGCUGAAGCUUAAAGGAAUUGGCGGGGGAGCACCACAACGGGUGGAGCCUGCGGUUUAAUUGGACUCAACGCCGGGAAGCUCACCGGAUAAGACAGCGGAAUGAUUGCCGGGCUGAAGACCCUGCAUGACCAGCUGAGAGGAGGUGCAUGGCGUAGUCGUGU
rnacentral:rRNA from 1 species